rnacentral:lncRNA from 1 species
GAGACUAAUCCUAAGAAUAAAAUUUAAAAGUUGAGAGUUGAAAAGAUAUAAUCGAUGGGCUGCAAUCCAAUAGACAAGAAUGUCAUAUAGAAACCCAAAUUUCCCUUGGAUUUUAGAAUCACACAACAAUCAAUAUACAAACAGCAAGUUGAAGAGCAAGGCAUCAAAUAAAGAUAGCCACAUCCAAGCUUGACAACUUCAUGAUCUUCUUUAAGUUUUGUCCAUUCAGGAGAUGAAUUUC